UACGUAGGGCGCAAGCGUUGUCCGGAAUUAUUGGGCGUAAAGAGCUCGUAGGCGGCUUGUCACGUCGGGUGUGAAAGCCCGGGGCUUAACCCCGGGUCUGCAUUCGAUACGGGCAGGCUAGAGUGUGGUAGGGGAGAUCGGAAUUCCUGGUGUAGCGGUGAAAUGCGCAGAUAUCAGGAGGAACACCGGUGGCGAAGGCGGAUCUCUGGGCCAAUUACUGACGCUGAGGAGCGAAAGCGUGGGGAGCGAACAGG
rnacentral:rRNA from 1 species